UGAUAUAGUUUGACGGGGGGAUGAUCCGGUGUUUUAGCAGCAUCUGCUGGCGGACAGCAACACAUUCCAACAGGGCUUCCUUAGCACCGACGCGACGAGCCACGCUUCCUUAGCAACGGCCUGAUGUAAACAUUGCAGUGAGCAAAAUAAAAAGGAAAAUCAUAAGGUUUUCACUGUUGAAAGGUAUGUUUACACUUAACAGGCAUCACGCAGCUGUUGAACUUUAUGGUGGAGAGUAGGUAAACUGAUUUGUUGUAGUGGUAAAUCAUGGAAGGAGUUUGACUUGGUCACCUGCUGGACUCUGGACUAGUAUACAGUUGGACAUACACAAACAGGGGAUCAUGACACAGAAUGAAAAGCAGAGACUAACUGGAGACGAAGAAAUUAUAAAAGAGCUGUGUGUGUCUAAUGGACUCUGCUAUGAGAAGGUGGGUCAGGAGGGGUGUGGUGAAAUGGUUCUGGAGAUGUUUUUCUCUGGUUUCCCGCGCAUGGUGGGCCUCUCUCUCUUUCCCAGACUGUCCAGUCUCACUAUUAUAGG